rnacentral:rRNA from 1 species
UGUGAACUCGAAGAGUAGGGCGGGACACGUGGUAUCCUGUCUGAAUAUGGGGGGACCAUCCUCCAAGGCUAAAUACUCCUGACUGACCGAUAGUGAACCAGUACCGUGAGGGAAAGGCGAAAAGAACCCCGGCGAGGGGAGUGAAAAAGAACCUGAAACCGUGUACGUACAAGCAGUGGGAGCCUCUUUAUGGGGUGACUGCGUACCUUUUGUAUAAUGGGUCAGCGACUUAUAUUCUGUAGCAAGGUUAACCGUAUAGGGGAGCCGAAGGGAAACCGAGUCUUAACUGGGCGUUAAGUUGCAGGGUAUAGACCCGAAACCCGGUGAUCUAGCCAUGGGCAGGUUGAAGGUUGGGUAACACUAACUGGAGGACCGAACCGACUAAUGUUGAAAAAUUAGCGGAUGACCUGUGGCUGGGGGUGAAAGGCCAAUCAAACCGGGAGAUAGCUGGUUCUCCCCGAAAGCUAUUUAGGUAGCGCCUCGUGAACUCAUCUUCGGGGGUAGAGCACUGUUUCGGCUAGGGGGCCAUCCCGGCUUACCAACCCGAUGCAAACUACGAAUACCGAAGAAUGUUAUCACGGGAGACACACGGCGGGUGCUAACGUCCGUCGUGAAGAGGGAAACAACCCAGACCGCCAGCUAAGGUCCCAAAGUCAUGGUUAAGUGGGAAACGAUGUGGGAAGGCACAGACAGCCAGGAUGUUGGCUUAGAAGCAGCCAUCAUUUAAAGAAAGCGUAAUAGCUCACUGGUCGAGUCGGCCUGCGCGGAAGAUGUAACGGGGCUAAACCAUGCACCGAAGCUGCGGCAGCGACACUAUGUGUUGUUGGGUAGGGGAGCGUUCUGUAAGCCGUUGAAGGUGUGCUGUGAGGCAUGCUGGAGGUAUCAGAAGUGCGAAUGCUGACAUAAGUAACGAUAAAGCGGGUGAAAAGCCCGCUCGCCGGAAGACCAAGGGUUCCUGUCCAACGUUAAUCGGGGCAGGGUGAGUCGACCCCUAAGGCGAGGCCGAAAGGCGUAGUCGAUGGGAAACAGGUUAAUAUUCCUGUACUUGGUGUUACUGCGAAGGGGGGACGGAGAAGGCUAUGUCAGCCGGGCGACGGUUGUCCCGGUUUAAGCAUGUAGGCGGAGGUUCCAGGUAAAUCCGGUACCUUUUAACGCUGAGGUGUGAUGACGAGGCACUACGGUGCUGAAGUGAUAAAUGCCCUGCUUCCAGGAAAAGCCUCUAAGCAUCAGGUAACACGAAAUCGUACCCCAAACCGACACAGGUGGUCAGGUAGAGAAUACCAAGGCGCUUGAGAGAACUCGGGUGAAGGAACUAGGCAAAAUGGUGCCGUAACUUCGGGAGAAGGCACGCUGAUAUGUAGGUGAAG